rnacentral:rRNA from 1 species
UGCUUCGCUGACGAGUGGCGGACGGGUGAGUAAUGUCUGGGAAACUGCCUGAUGGAGGGGGAUAACUACUGGAAACGGUAGCUAAUACCGCAUAACGUCGCAAGACCAAAGAGGGGGACCUUCGGGCCUCUUGCCAUCGGAUGUGCCCAGAUGGGAUUAGCUAGUAGGUGGGGUAACGGCUCACCUAGGCGACGAUCCCUAGCUGGUCUGAGAGGAUGACCAGCCACACUGGAACUGAGACACGGUCCAGACUCCUACGGGAGGCAGCAGUGGGGAAUAUUGCACAAUGGGCGCAAGCCUGAUGCAGCCAUGCCGCGUGUAUGAAGAAGGCCUUCGGGUUGUAAAGUACUUUCAGCGGGGAGGAAGGGAGUAAAGUUAAUACCUUUGCUCAUUGACGUUACCCGCAGAAGAAGCACCGGCUAACUCCGUGCCAGCAGCCGCGGUAAUACGGAGGGUGCAAGCGUUAAUCGGAAUUACUGGGCGUAAAGCGCACGCAGGCGGUUUGUUAAGUCAGAUGUGAAACCCCCGGGCUCAACCUGGGAACUGCAUCUGAUACUGGCAAGCUUGAGUCUCGUAGAGGGGGGUAGAAUUCCAGGUGUAGCGGUGAAAUGCGUAGAGAUCUGGAGGAAUACCGGUGGCGAAGGCGGCCCCUGGACGAAGACUGACG